rnacentral:rRNA from 1 species
GACGAACGCUGGCGGCGUGCUUAACACAUGCAAGUCGAACGGAAAGGCCCUGCUUUUGUGGGGUGCUCGAGUGGCGAACGGGUGAGUAACACGUGAGUAACCUGCCCUUGACUUUGGGAUAACUUCAGGAAACUGGGGCUAAUACCGGAUAGGAGCUCCUGCUGCAUGGUGGGGGUUGGAAAGUUUCGGCGGUUGGGGAUGGACUCGCGGCUUAUCAGCUUGUUGGUGGGGUAGUGGCUUACCAAGGCUUUGACGGGUAGCCGGCCUGAGAGGGUGACCGGCCACGUUGGGACUGAGCUACGGCCCAGACUCCUACGGGAGGCAGCAGUGGGGAAUAUUGCACAAUGGGCGGAAGCCUGAUGCAGCAACGCCGCGUGCGGGAUGACGGCCUUCGGGUUGUAAACCGCUUUCGCCUGUGACGAAGCGUGAGUGACGGUAAUGGGUAAAGAAGCACCGGCUAACUACGUG